AUGGAGUUGCAUCAAUCUCCUCUUGCCAUAUGGAAUCAAAAUUGUUAUUGUGUGCAUAAUAGGACACACAUUACUCGGUCGCACUUCUAUUACAUGUUUGAAUAAGAUGUUACAUUUCUAUCAUAUCAAAAUAGAUAAAGCAACUUCUAUGUAUCUAGUAUAAAAAUGGUAAUAGAGAAUCCUCCUAGAUAUUUUGAAAGAAUCAAUCAUGUAAAAAUCAUGAUAAAUAAACUAAGCAAAAAGCCUCCUACAACACAAUUAUAGAGAAUUUUGAAAUCUUGGGUACCUCGAAAUAAAUCUAGGGUACUUGGCAAGUUCUAAUGGA
rnacentral:lncRNA from 1 species